GAUGAACGCUGGCGGCGUGCCUAAUACAUGCAAGUCGAGCGAACGGACGAGAAGCUUGCUUUUCUGAUGUUAGCGGCGGACGGGUGGGUAACACGUGGAUAACCUACCUAUAAGACUGGGAUAACUUCGGGAAACCGGAGCUAAUACCGGAUAAUAUUUUGAACCGCAUGGUUCAUAAGUGAAAGACGGUCUUGCUGUCACUUAUAGAUGGAUCCGCGCUGCAUUAGCUAGUUGGUAAGGUAACGGCUUACCAAGGCAACGAUGCAUAGCCGACCUGAGAGGGUGAUCGGCCACACUGGAACUGAGACACGGUCCAGACUCCUACGGGAGGCAGCAGUAGGGAAUCUUCCGCAAUGGGCGAAAGCCUGACGGAGCAACGCCGCGUGAGUGAUGAAGGCCUUCGGAUCGUAAAACUCUGUUAUUAGGGAAGAACAUAUGUGUAAGUAACUGUGCACAUCUUGACGGUACCUAAUCAGAAAGCCACGGCUAACUACGUG
rnacentral:rRNA from 1 species